rnacentral:rRNA from 1 species
CGCGGUUAUACUGAUUUGCAUUUCUUUUAUUUACGAAUUAUUGAGAAUUUAUUAAUAGACUAACCUGUGGUUUAAUAUGUGUUAGGGUCUAAACUAAAUAAAUGUGUUUUUUAUAUUAUUUUUUUAAACAAGAAUUAGAUACUCUUUUAUAAAUAUGAUUAUUUAUAUAAUCUCAGUUUUAACUGAAAGAAAUUGGCAGCCGAUGAUAUCCCGUUGGGGGAAUGUGUGAUUUGAUAGAUGUUCCACUAGAUAAUUUACUUCUUUUAUUAGUUGGUGUAUAUCCGGUUUAGUUACAAAAACCAUAUGGUUUUUGUAAAAUUUGAUUUGUUUGAAUCCAGGUCAAUAUGCUGCCCACUUAGGAGUUAUCAUGCAUUACAUUAAAAGUUCUUAUACUGUUAUGUUGUGGGGGUUUAGGACUCAAUAGUAUUACAAAAUACUGUGUUUGUGAGAAUGGGGUUUAAUUGGGGCACACAUCGCCCGUCAUCUUCGAUUUUUGUUGAG